UACGUAGGGGGCCAGCGUUGUCCGGAUUCAUUGGGCGUAAAGCGCGUGUAGGCGGCCAGGUAGGUCCGAUGUGAAGUCUGGAGGCUCAACCUCCAGCGGUCAUUGGAAACCAUCUGGCUAGAGUCCGGAAGAGGAGAGUGGAAUUCCUGGUGUAGCGGUGAAAUGCGCAGAUAUCAGGAAGAACACCAAUGGCGAAGGCAGCUCUCUGGGACGGUACUGACGCUGAGACGCGAAAGCGUGGGGAGCGAACAGG
rnacentral:rRNA from 1 species